rnacentral:sRNA from 1 species
AGAGGAAGUAAAAGUCGUAACAAGGUUUCCGUAGGUGAACCUGCGGAAGGAUCAUUAUAGUACAAAUUGUGUGAGGCAUGCAAGGGCUGUCGCUGACUCGAAAUGCAAAGAGUCGUGCACGCCGGAGGGUGUCCUCUCACAUAAAAUCCAUCUCACCCUUUUUGUGCACCACCGCGUGGGCCCCCCUUGGGAUCAAAUCGAUUCAGGAGGGGGCUUGCGUUUUCACACAAACCCCUUUGUAAAUGUGUAGAAUGACCCCCCUCUUUUGUGAUGACACACAAUAAAUACAACUUUCAACAACGGAUCUCUUGGCUCUCGCAUCGAUGAAGAACGCAGCGAAAUGCGAUACGUAAUGUGAAUUGCAGAAUUCAGUGAAUCAUNGAAUCUUUGAACGCACCUUGCACCCCUUGGUAUUCCGAGGGGCACACCCGUUUGAGUGUCGUGAACAUCUCAACCUUCUUGGUUUCUUCUGGACACCAAAGAAGGCUUGGACUUUGGAGGCCUUUGCUGGCACCUCUUUCUUUUGGAAGCCAGCUCCUCUUAAAUGCAUUAGUGGGAUCCCCUUUGCUGAUCCUCGACGUGUGAUAAGAUGUUUCCAUGUCUUGGUUUUUGGCUCGGUCAUUUUUGGGACCUGCUUCUAACUGUCUUGCUCCUGCAUCGAGACAAUGUUCGAGGGCGUCUCCCUUAUUGGGAAACUCUCUUGCCCCCACACACCCCGACCUUCUCA